rnacentral:rRNA from 1 species
AGCUUGCUUCUCUGAUGUUAGCGGCGGACGGGUGAGUAACACGUGGAUAACCUACCUAUAAGACUGGGAUAACUUCGGGAAACCGGAGCUAAUACCGGAUAAUAUUUUGAACCGCAUGGUUCAAAAGUGAAAGACGGUCUUGCUGUCACUUAUAGAUGGAUCCGCGCUGCAUUAGCUAGUUGGUAAGGUAACGGCUUACCAAGGCAACGAUGCAUAGCCGACCUGAGAGGGUGAUCGGCCACACUGGAACUGAGACACGGUCCAGACUCCUACGGGAGGCAGCAGUAGGGAAUCUUCCGCAAUGGGCGAAAGCCUGACGGAGCAACGCCGCGUGAGUGAUGAAGGUCUUCGGAUCGUAAAACUCUGUUAUUAGGGAAGAACAUAUGUGUAAGUAACUGUGCACAUCUUGACGGUACCUAAUCAGAAAGCCACGGCUAACUACGUGCCAGCAGCCGCGGUAAUACGUAGGUGGCAAGCGUUAUCCGGAAUUAUUGGGCGUAAAGCGCGCGUAGGCGGUUUUUUAAGUCUGAUGUGAAAGCCCACGGCUCAACCGUGGAGGGUCAUUGGAAACUGGAAAACUUGAGUGCAGAAGAGGAAAGUGGAAUUCCAUGUGUAGCGGUGAAAUGCGCAGAGAUAUGGAGGAACACCAGUGGCGAAGGCGACUUUCUGGUCUGUAACUGACGCUGAUGUGCGAAAGCGUGGGGAUC